rnacentral:rRNA from 1 species
AAAUUGAAGAGUUUGAUCAUGGCUCAGAUUGAACGCUGGCGGCAGGCCUAACACAUGCAAGUCGAGCGGUAGCACAGAGAGCUUGCUCUCGGGUGACGAGCGGCGGACGGGUGAGUAAUGUCUGGGAAACUGCCUGAUGGAGGGGGAUAACUACUGGAAACGGUAGCUAAUACCGCAUAACGUCGCAAGACCAAAGUGGGGGACCUUCGGGCCUCAUGCCAUCAGAUGUGCCCAGAUGGGAUUAGCUAGUAGGUGGGGUAACGGCUCACCUAGGCGACGAUCCCUAGCUGGUCUGAGAGGAUGACCAGCCACACUGGAACUGAGACACGGUCCAGACUCCUACGGGAGGCAGCAGUGGGGAAUAUUGCACAAUGGGCGCAAGCCUGAUGCAGCCAUGCCGCGUGUGUGAAGAAGGCCUUCGGGUUGUAAAGCACUUUCAGCGGGGAGGAAGGCGGUGAGGUUAAUAACCUCACCGAUUGACGUUACCCGCAGAAGAAGCACCGGCUAACUCCGUGCCAGCAGCCGCGGUAAUACGGAGGGUGCAAGCGUUAAUCGGAAUUACUGGGCGUAAAGCGCACGCAGGCGGUCUGUCAAGUCGGAUGUGAAAUCCCCGGGCUCAACCUGGGAACUGCAUUCGAAACUGGCAGGCUAGAGUCUUGUAGAGGGGGGUAGAAUUCCAGGUGUAGCGGUGAAAUGCGUAGAGAUCUGGAGGAAUACCGGUGGCGAAGGCGGCCCCCUGGACAAAGACUGACGCUCAGGUGCGAAAGCGUGGGGAGCAAACAGGAUUAGAUACCCUGGUAGUCCACGCCGUAAACGAUGUCGAUUUGGAGGUUGUGCCCUUGAGGCGUGGCUUCCGGAGCUAACGCGUUAAAUCGACCGCCUGGGGAGUACGGCCGCAAGGUUAAAACUCAAAUGAAUUGACGGGGGCCCGCACAAGCGGUGGAGCAUGUGGUUUAAUUCGAUGCAACGCGAAGAACCUUACCUGGUCUUGACAUCCACAGAACUUUCCAGAGAUGGAUUGGUGCCUUCGGGAACUGUGAGACAGGUGCUGCAUGGCUGUCGUCAGCUCGUGUUGUGAAAUGUUGGGUUAAGUCCCGCAACGAGCGCAACCCUUAUCCUUUGUUGCCAGCGGUCCGGCCGGGAACUCAAAGGAGACUGCCAGUGAUAAACUGGAGGAAGGUGGGGAUGACGUCAAGUCAUCAUGGCCCUUACGACCAGGGCUACACACGUGCUACAAUGGCGCAUACAAAGAGAAGCGACCUCGCGAGAGCAAGCGGACCUCAUAAAGUGCGUCGUAGUCCGGAUUGGAGUCUGCAACUCGACUCCAUGAAGUCGGAAUCGCUAGUAAUCGUGGAUCAGAAUGCCACGGUGAAUACGUUCCCGGGCCUUGUACACACCGCCCGUCACACCAUGGGAGUGGGUUGCAAAAGAAGUAGGUAGCUUAACCUUCGGGAGGGCGCUUACCACUUUGUGAUUCAUGACUGGGGUGAAGUCGUAACAAGGUAACCGUAGGGGAACCUGCGGUUGGAUCACCUCCUUA